UUUCAAAUGCAGCUCUCCCUACAGGGUCCCUCUGGUUUGUCUUUUUUUUUUCUUUCUUUUUUUCUUUUUCUUUUUUUUUUUUUUUUGAGAGAGAGAAGAGAGGAGAAAGAGGGAGAAGGAGAGAGAGAGAGAAUUUUUUAAUAUUUAUUUCCAGUUUUUGGUGGACACAACAUCUUUAUUUCAUUUGUAUGUGGUGCUGAGGAUCGAACCCAGCGCCCCAGGCGCGCAUGCCAGGCGAGCAUGUUACCGCU
rnacentral:sRNA from 1 species